rnacentral:rRNA from 1 species
GAUGAACGCUGGCGGCGUGCCUAACACAUGCAAGUCGAACGAAGCACCUUACCUGAUUCUUCGGAUGAAAGUUUGGUGACUGAGUGGCGGACGGGUGAGUAACGCGUGGGUAACCUGCCCUGUACAGGGGGAUAACAGCUGGAAACGGCUGCUAAUACCGCAUAAGCGCACGAGGAGACAUCUCCUUGUGUGAAAAACUCCGGUGGUACAGGAUGGGCCCGCGUCUGAUUAGCUGGUUGGCAGGGUAACGGCCUACCAAGGCAACGAUCAGUAGCCGGUCUGAGAGGAUGAACGGCCACAUUGGAACUGAGACACGGUCCAAACUCCUACGGGAGGCAGCAGUGGGGAAUAUUGCACAAUGGGGGAAACCCUGAUGCAGCAACGCCGCGUGAGUGAAGAAGUAUUUCGGUAUGUAAAGCUCUAUCAGCAGGGAAGAUAAUGACGGUACCUGACUAAGAAGCUCAGGCUAAAUACGUG